GACGAACGCUGGCGGCGUGCUUAACACAUGCAAGUCGAACGGAAAGGCCCUGCUUUUGUGGGGUGCUCGAGUGGCGAACGGGUGAGUAACACGUGAGUAACCUGCCCUUGACUUUGGGAUAACUUCAGGAAACUGGGGCUAAUACCGGAUAGGAGCUCCUGCUGCAUGGUGGGGGUUGGAAAGUUUCGGCGGUUGGGGAUGGACUCGCGGCUUAUCAGCUUGUUGGUGGGGUAGUGGCUUACCAAGGCUUUGACGGGUAGCCGGCCUGAGAGGGUGACCGGGCAAAUGGGGAUAGGGAAGCGGCCAGGACCGCAGCGGGGGGAAGGGGGGGGAGAUUUUCGAAAAAGGGGGGAGUGCGGAUGGAGCAACGCCGGGUGGGGGAGGUCGGCUUUGGGGUUAGAAACCGUUUUCCCCUGUGAAGAAGCGUGGGGAGGGGAAAUGGGCAAAAAAGCACCGGCAAACUACGU
rnacentral:rRNA from 1 species